UGGGGAAUAUUGCACAAUGGGCGAAAGCCUGAUGCAGCGACGCCGCGUGAGUGAAGAAGUAUUUCGGUAUGUAAAGCUCUAUCAGCAGGGAAGAAAAUGACAGUACCAUAGGAAUAAGGACCGGCUAAUUACGUGCCAGCAGCCGCGGUAAUACGUAAGGUCCGAGCGUUGUCCGGAAUCAUUGGGCGUAAAGGGUACGUAGGCGGGUAAGCAAGUUAGAAGUGAAAUCCUAUAGCUCAACUAUAGUAAGCUUUUAAAACUGCUCAUCUUGAGGUAUGGAAGGGAAAGUGGAAUUCCUAGUGUAGCGGUGAAAUGCGCAGAUAUUAGGAGGAAUACCGGUGGCGAAGGCGACUUUCUGGCCAUAACCUGACGCUGAGGUACGAAAGCGUGGGUAGCAAACAGG
rnacentral:rRNA from 1 species